rnacentral:rRNA from 1 species
UACGAAGGGGGCUAGCGUUGCUCGGAAUCACUGGGCGUAAAGCGCGCGUAGGCGGAUUGUUAAGUCAGGGGUGAAAUCCUGGAGCUCAACUCCAGAACUGCCUUUGAUACUGGCGACCUUGAGUCCGGGAGAGGUGAGUGGAACUCCGAGUGUAGAGGUGAAAUUCGUAGAUAUUCGGAAGAACACCAGUGGCGAAGGCGGCUCACUGGCCCGGUACUGACGCUGAGGUGCGAAAGCGUGGGGAGCAAACAGG